ACCAGUAACGGGGGCGGACCUUGAAUGGUGACCAAUUGCGAUCCUCUGGCCGGAUAAGUAGCCAUGAUCGCCGGGCAAGUCGACUUGCCCGACCACUUCUCUCCGCCCUGUCUGAUACACCCAUGCUUUUUGCGUACCACUGUUUCCUCGGCAGGCUUGCCUGCCAGCAGGACCCUUUUAAACCCUUUGCAGUUGCAGUCAGCGUCAGAAAAACACAAUAGUUA
rnacentral:misc_RNA from 1 species